rnacentral:rRNA from 1 species
AACAAGGAUUUCCCCUAGUAACUGCGAGUGAAGCGGGAAGAGCUCAAAUUUUGAAUCUGGCGGUCCUCGUGGUCGUCCGAGUUGUAAUCUAGAGAAGCGUUUUCCGCGCUGGACCGUGUACAAGUCUCCUGGAACGGAGCGUCAUAGAGGGUGAGAAUCCCGUCUCUGACACGGACUACCAGGGCUUUUGUGAUGCGUCUCGACGAGUCGAGUUGUUUGGGAAUGCAGCUCAAAUUGGGUGGUAAAUUCCAUCUAAAGCUAAAUACAGGCGAGAGACCGAUAGCGAACAAGUACCGUGAGGGAAAGAUGAAAAGAACUUUGGAAAGAGAGUUAAACAGUACGUGAAAUUGCUGAAAGGGAAACGCUUGAAGUCAGUCGCGUUGGCCGGGGAUCAGCCUUGCAAUCUUGUUGGGUGCAUUUCCUGGUUGACGGGUCCUGGUAUGACGGGUCAGCAUCGAUUUUGACCGUCGGAGAAGGGUCGAGGGAAUGUGGCAUCCUUCGGGGUGUGUUAUAGCCUUUGAUCGUAUGCGACGGUUGGGAUCGAGGAACUCAGCAUGACCCCUCGUGGGUUUGGGGCUUCGGCUGAGAUCCAUGCUUAGGAUGCUGGCAUAAUGGCUUUAAGCGACCCGUCUUGAAACACGGACCAAGGAGUCUAACAUGCCCGCGAGUGUUUGGGUGUUUAAAACCCGAGCGCGUAAUGAAAGUGAAAGUUGAGACCUCUGUCGUGGAGGGCAUCGACGCCCGGACCAGAACUUUUGUGACGGCCCUGCGGUAGAGCGUGUAUGUUGGGACCCGAAAGAUGGUGAACUAUGCCUGAAUAGGGUGAAGCCAGAGGAAACUCUGGUGGAGGCUCGUAGCGAUUCUGACGUGCAAAUCGAUCGUCGAAUUUGGGAU